GGCUGAGAGGGAAGAAUGUGAUGAAGUGUCAAGUCCCUGUCAGCUCCGUAUUUCCCACGGCAUUUAAAUGCCUGCAGGCGGAUUAAUAAGCCACCUUGCUCCUGCCACAACUUGUGACGGAAAGCAGAAGGCAGGAUGGACGUGGCGAGUGACCUGCUCAGCCUCGCUGACCUAGUGCCUGGUCCAUCUGCCGCCUUGCCGUGCCGCCCCUCCUGUGAGGCAAGGGUCAGAACACGCUCAUGCAACAAUUCCGCGAGACUGCGGCCGGCAAAGCAGCCAGAGAACACACACGGACCCCUGCCUGGCUGUGGCCCCUCUUGGGCAGAUGGCAGGACCCAAUCCACUCUGAGUCUGCAGCCGUGAGCCUGGAAUUUCCCCCAGCGCAGGAAGGAGGUGGAGCGCCAGCAGCUCAGGGGUGCCGGGAGCCGGGCACAGGAGCCUCCCGGGGUGCUGAGCCCAGGAAACCCGCAGCAGCUGGGCAGCGUGGUGCUCCGCAAGCCCACUCGGCCCCCACAUCUCCGGGCCGUGCUGUCAGCACUCCUCCUCCUCCCGGAGUGAUCCAGGCAAAUGGCGUAUGGAGCCCACCCCUCGGGGAUGGGGAGGCCCAGUUCUCCGUCUUCACAAACAGUGAGUGCUGACCAGAGGCCACACCAGGGCGGAAGCUGGACGGAGGCAGCUGAGGUGACUUUAAAAACUGGACUCUGAGUAUCUGUGGGGGCUGCAUUUGGUCAGGAUUUGUUAUUUUCCAGAAUUCUCUCUGAAGAACAGGAGGUGCUGGAAGCUGGCAGGGCACCCAUGUGGCUCCUGUCGUUAGAAGGAGAAAGGUCCAGGCUGGAAAGGGCCCCUCCCCACUCCCUGUAGGUGCUGAGGGUCUUGGUUGGUCCUCUGUUCCCCACAAGGAAGCAGUGGGCGUGGGGUCACCUCCGACAUUGCACUGGGGCUGCGGCACCACUGGGCCACGCAGGAGGCACAGCGUGGGGCACUCAAGGCCGCUAGAGUGAGUCGGGUCUGGAGGAGGAGGGGGCACAGACAGAGGUGAGGGCAGCGGAGGAAGCCGCGGGCGUGGGAGAGGCCCCAGCCCAGGGACCGAGGUGCGUGUGGGUGCAGGGGACAUUUGCAGACUGGGCCAUCUGGAGGGACGGCGGACACAUGGCAGCGAGAGAGAAGACAGCGCGGUCUGCCUGGCAUCUGCUUUCUAGGUUGGUGCUGGGUGAGGUGUGCUGCUCAGAUCGUUCCUAGAAGCACAGAACACCCAGAUGUUCCUUCAGGGUCUGUCUCACCCUCAGAGUCACCUUUCCCACAGCCCUGUCCUUCCCGGAAAGAUGGAGUCUAGUGACCGAGGAAGGCCGGACCGUGCAGGCCUCCCCACAGUGCCAGCCGAACGGGCCCCUUGCGUGCCAGAUCUUCCCGCGGGUCACACGGCCCCGUGGGGCCUGCACCACACGUCAGCCCUACCCGCUUCCCUUCACACGCGCUGGUCCUAAGCACCUUCACACCCGUAUGCAUCCGGUCCCAACUCUGCUUCCAGAGACAUCUGAAGAUGUGGCACCGUUUGACGAGAAACCCAACCUCUCGCAACAGUGUGAUUCCUUCCCCAUCCCCACGCCUCACGCUCCUGUCCUCACGUGUUCUAUGACUGAGACCCCACGAAGCUCGUGGUGCUGGACACACACGCGUGCAGAUUUGCCGUUUAAAAGAGAUGACGGGCCGGGCGCGGUGGCUCAAGCCUGUAAUCCCAGCACUUUGGGAGGCCGAGACGGGCGGAUCACGAGGUCGGGAGAUUGAGACCAUCCUGGCUAACACGGUG
ensembl:lincRNA